rnacentral:tRNA from 1 species
GCUUCUAUGGCCCAGUGGUAAGGCGUCCCCUUCGUAAGGGGAAGAUCCUCGGUUCAAUCCCGAGUAGGAGCA